rnacentral:other from 1 species
AUAGAUCUGCGGUGUACGGAGUUCGGCGUUUUUGCGGAAUCCACAUUAUAUAUUCGGGAGUUGUUAUUCGUGUCGAUAGGCAAGGUCUGUUUUACGGAAAGUCCGAGGCGGCAAGAUGCGGCACCCACCUGCUAUCAGCGGGUUCACCCAUCGUCGAGGUGCGGCACAGGCGGAUUAUUU